CCUACGGGAGGCAGCAGUGAGGAAUAUUGGUCAAUGGCCGGAAGGCUGAACCAGCCAAGCCGCGUGAAGGACGAAGGUGCCAAGCAUUGUAAACUUCUUUUGUCAAGGGACAAAAUCAGGCUCGAGAGCCUGACCGAGGGUACUUGAAGAAAAAGCAUCGGCUAACUCCGUGCCCGCAGCCGCGGUAAUACGGAGGAUGCGAGCGUUAUCCGGAUUUAUUGGGUUUAAAGGGUGCGUAGGCGGGCUGUUAAGUCAGCGGUAAAAGCCCGGGGCGCAACCCCGGCGAGCCGUUGAAACUGGCUGUCUUGAGAUGUCGAGAGGUAUGCGGAAUGCGCGGUGUAGCGGUGAAAUGCUUAGAUAUUGCGCAGAACUCCGAUUGCGAAAGCAGCAUACCGGCGGCCAUCUGACGCUGAGGCACGAAAGCGUGGGUAUCGAACAGGAUUAGAUACCCCGGUAGUC
rnacentral:rRNA from 1 species